rnacentral:lncRNA from 1 species
AUGGCUUCCACCCCAGCCAGAUUGCUGCAGCCCUUGGAACAAGAAUUACCUGGCAGAAGGUGCUACAUGAAUGGCCUCAAGUGCUUGGAAGGGAGAAUCCAUUCAACGAUCAGAUUGAAGCUAUAUUCAAAGAUCAAGGUGGACACUGACUUCCAAACUGCCAGAGCCCUGACAUGGUUUACGGUGAUGCUUCCCAGUGCAUUCCACAAAACAAGAUGAUUAACAACACACACUAAAAAAGGGGGAGGCCAAGUUAUCGGAGCCAGUAGCAGCAGACAUAACACAACAGCAUUCUUUUUGGUUUGUAUCUCACCUGCACUAGUAGGCUAUGCUUUUUCUGUGGAGCAACAAAAAUAAAAAUCAAAGGAUACCUGCCAGCUGACCAUUUAUUGUACUGGUUUGCAAAUCCGUUCAAUUUUAUUCUAUAUAGCACAAACUCCUAGCCCUACCUCUGUUUUACACCACCCCCCCCGCCCCCCCGCAGAACAUUAUUUCUGGGUUUUCCAUUUGUAGUGUUUCGACAGUUAAUCUGAUCCCCAAAACUGGGGAGGGUGGGGGGGCAACCCAAACUCAUUAUGUUGCUAUAAAUUGUGUGUAUGUAAUUAGCCUGACUGUCAAUACAUAAUUUAGCUGCUAUUUGCUUAUUAAAAUGUGCCAGGAAUAAUAGGGCACUAGGAUUUUGAUUUGCCUGGCAGCAUUAGUGCAGGCUGACUAAGCACAGGUACUCUCUCCCCCCCACCCCCCACCCCACUAACAAGGUAGUAGCUUGACAACCCUUCAUGUAUUUAAAACAGGUUGCUUUUUCAACCUUUAGUACAUCUUUGCUCUCUUGCUUCCUAACAAAUAUGACAUAGCCAGUCCUGUAUUUUUACAGGCAUGACCCAGGGAAUCACUGAAGAUAUUGGGCAGCCCUUACCUGUUCUACUUCAUACACAGACUUGAAGGUUGAGAAUUACUGGUAGUUUUUCACUAGCUUAUCCAAUGCUCUUAGCAAAUAAAUAAAUAAAUAUUAAAAAAAUUACAAGACAGCUCUACCCUACUCACAGCCUUACUGGUGAUGAAGGGAUCAGAUAGCAUAAAAUGGCAUUAAUUACAGGUGGGGAAAAAAAUCUGGUAAAUAGAAAGUGUUAACAUGCCAUGACUAAAACCCAACAAAAUCUGCUCUUCGUUCUGAACACAUCCCUUGCUUAAGGUUGCAUCACCCAUGAGCCAGCUCUUAGGCUGCAGUCCAAAGUAGAGGAGAUGGCCUGGCUGCAUAUUGACCUUAGCACACUGGCCACAGCUGUAGGAGAUGCAUCUGCUCAGUAUUUUGAAUAAGCAGAAGAUGACUUGGCUAGUGCUAUUUUGAUUGAAGCAGGUAUUAUUGCUAUCCUAGAUCCUCUUCCUCUUUUUUUUUUAGAGUACAGUCAAUGCUGCAUCUUUUAUUAAGAUAGAAAUUCAUUUGGGACUACUGCUAGCAUUUAAGUAAAUAUUCAAGUCACCUACUUUAGGAAACCAAAAGGGAAUACAUUUCUUAAUUGAAUGAUACUUAUUAAUAAGGCCCCAAUUCAUUCAAGGCGUUUAGAUGUUACCAAAAUAUCCAGUCUCCCAAGAAAUAGUUUCAACUCCACAGAGGCAUGCUUGAGGAAGACUAUUUAGCAUUGGAAGGAAAAGGAAAUCUACCUGCUUCCUGUAUACAUUCUCUCCACCAAACAGCAUAACAUUUGAUGCACACUGGCCAGGUAGAACACCUUCAACCUAUUUUUUUAUUACCUAUCUAAGGCUUCCUAUCUUUCAUUAAAAACAGAUCAAGGACAGAAACAAGUGCAUGCACAUGGGUUUACUAUAGAACAAGUACAGCACAGACAAUUACAGAAUAUCAGAUAAUUUCCUCUACACCAAAAUACAGAAAUGUAGCUAUUAAAAGGGGGAAGGGAACAGUAUGUGUUUAGAAGCCAAAUUUUCAGGCAAUUUCAUUGCAAAUGAUUGUAUUUCAUUUGAGGUUGGGAUUUAAUAAUGCCAAUUAGGAGUUUUACAAGCUACUAAAACUGAAAUUUCCUCAGCUAAAAUAAGCUUCAUUGCCCAGAGCAAAGCAUUUUCCAUUUAUAGAGUUUCUUAUUAGUGAACAUCUUGAAUUUCUGAACAAUGGAGAAAAAAAACCCACCAACACCUUUCUUAUAAAAUUAGAACAGCAUCUUCUCAAAGACAACCUGAAACCCAAAGCAAAGCUCUGUGAUUUGCCCAGUAUAAUUGUUCCAUACAUGAUACGGGGUCUCUGAGGGACUUCAUGACUGGCUGAAGGAGCACUAACCAAGGCCUAUGUCCUCAUGCCUCAGAGGUGAGCUCUGCAGUUCAGAAUUAGGCUGGAUGCAGAAAUUUGAUUUGUAACUAAUGUAGUAACCAUUUGCAAAUAAAGAUGAAUUUCAGGCCUAUUAAGCCGACAGCUUUUACAACCGCUGUGUCUCUCCAUUAUUUCAAAGAAUGCAAAAAACAGCUGAAGAUCUGCACCCCCAACCAUCCAUCACUUACCAAUACCACUCUAAAAAUAAGUGUCCUAUAUUUAAAGAAAUGCUUCUGUAAAAGCUUAUUUAUUCUAAAGCAGUAACAAACUAUGAAUCCUAGUCUAUUCCAUUAGUUUGAGUAUCUCCUGGUGCCUAGGUUGGUUGAAUGUGACAAAUGCAUGGGGAAGAGAGAAAUAAGCAGGAAAAAAAAAAGUUUCUCUCAGAAAGCUAAGUAGUUUCAUGAAAUUCAAACUUCAUAGCAGUACAGAUUUCUAGAAGAAAUGGUCUAUAUCAAGGGCUUUUUGGGGGGAGAGUCAGAGCACCUGAAUAGAGGAAGAAUUAUGUCACUGGCUAGUUCCAAUGCACUGCAAAUAGUAAGCAUUUUUUUUGAGGUUAUUCUGUUCAUAAACCAUUUUUACAGAACUUUAAGCUUUGUUUGAAAUCAGAGUAGGAACUACUUUUGAGGUAUAGAACAUCUAUAGCUACCUGAAGCUAUUGAAUUCAUACCAUCUGGCCUCUUCAAAAAGUAUCUCCAACAAAUAUGGGAAAAAAAAAUGUUUGCCAACACUUUUGAAAAAUUUUCCACAGCUCACCCUUAAAAGAGCAGGGGCAUGCAGGAGGGGAGGAGGUACACAGCAGUGCAAGUCAGUAAAGCUGUAAAUGCAGGCUUGCUGCUCAGCUAGCGUCACACACUUCUGCUGGCUAUAGUAGCACGUGUCAUUGCCACUGACAGCUUGUGUCUAGAACUCACCAUCCAGGUCAGCUUUUCUAACUUACAUCACCCGUUACACAUUCUACCUUUCCUUGAUGAGGAUAAUUUUUCAUCUUGGGCAAUGAACACACAGAGAUUAGUUUCUACAAUGGAUAAUAGCCCAAUUAACCUAAAUAAAGGUGUGUCAUUCCCUUAGAUAUAUCCAGUUCCAUCCUUAAGAUCGUUCUAUGGAUUGAUUUCAUAAUUUUAUAUUUAAUGAUUUUUUUAUUAACAUCCACUUCAAAGUUUUAAGUAGACAGCAUACUGUGUAUUCACAGAUGAAAGUUGCUGUUCCACCAUCCAUGGUUGAUUGCUACUCUACUGCCAUGUCUCCAUCACAAGAGAAAAGGAACCAUCUCACCUCUCCAUACUUGACAAACUGCUGGUCUCUAGCAGCUUCUACAUUCAUAUAUUAACGAAGCAAUUCAUGGGAACUGCCCCUGGACAAUCUGGCUUCCCACUACAAAAUUUGGUGCUAGCUACCCCUGAGGCAUCCCAUUAUCUUCCCAAAUCAAGUGGUAUUUUGGGAUACACAUACUGAAUGGAAUCCUUUCUUAAACAUUGUGUAGAGUCCAGCUUUUCUUCUUCUAGCCUACAAACCAGUAUCUCCAACACAUAGAUGACAUUAUGAAAGAAGCAGAAAGUGUCUUAUUCUUUAUUUUAAAUGAAUAAAAUAAAUCUCAAUACACAGUUUGGAAACAUUUAAAGACAUCAGAAAAAGAUAACUAGAUUUAAAAGCAAGUACAAAAGUGGCAGGAUGAAAAUAGGAUAAGCUACCAGAAUUUAGUGUUUCAAGUGUGAAUAUAUAACAGCAAUAGCAAUUUUAAAUAUUCCACUAUUGUAUUCGCAAUAGUGAAGUAAUGAGAUAGUAUUUCACUAAGCCCAGCAAAAAGCUGUGAAAAUUGCAAGUUUCAACUGAGAAGUUUUGCCAUUUUAAUGAUGGUUCUGAAGUACUGUUUAUUUGCAUUUAUGGACAUGUCCAUGAGGGGGAGGAAGACCCAUACUUUAGGCCAGCAGAGUAUUAGUUGGUACAUAGCAGCUUUAUAGUGUUUUAUAUAAAAAAAAAAGGCAGAAAGCACUUUUACAACCUAUUCCUGGUUCUCAAAUGGAGAACUGUAGCUUGUACAAACCAUGAGUCCCAGGAAAUACUGACAUAUACAACCCUAAACCUAAUUUGUUUGGUUGGUUUUUGUUUUAUAUCAGUCCUAACAAAAAUAUUCAAGACCUUUCAUUUCUAUCAAAGUGCAAUAUACUGCAUACAUAAUUCCACACCUGUAAACCAUAUAGUAUACAUGCCAUGCACUUAUCUAUAGAAGUUUGUAUAAGAAAUUGCAGAAGUAUGAAUAUAUUGUGCAUGUUUGUUCUGACAAGGACACUGUGCAAGCAAGAAAUACCUAUAUUGCAUGUUGUAGAAUAAAAUUUACUAGUAACUUCUGUGCCUGAUCAUUACAAAAAAAACCUGACAAAUGCUCCAAUAUUAAGUCCUGUGCUUCAGCUCCAUCCUUGUUAGAGAACUCUGAGCUAUUGAUUUUUUCAGGGAGCUGAGUUAUCUAGUAAGCUUGUUUUUUCACUAGCUUGCCCCUCCUUCCUGCCCUGAAGUGUGAUUUCCUGCAAUAAUUUAGUUGUUU